rnacentral:lncRNA from 1 species
AUCAAGAUAGUGUGAAGCAAAAUCAAUUUAUGGUGCCAACAAAAGCUUCACCUAUAAAGCUUCAACACCAAAGCUUCACUUAUCAAGGUUCAACCCCAAAGCUUCACCUAUAAAGCUUCAAACACAAAGCUUCAACUAUAAAGCUUCAAUAUCAAAGCUUCACCUAUAAAGCUUCACCUAUAAAGCUUCAACACCAAAGCUUCACUUAUAAAGCUUCAACCCCAAUACUUCACCUACAAUACAAAAUUUCAACACCAAAACAUAUAAAAGCUUCGCACACUCUUCAUCAAGAUAGUGCGAAGCUAAUUCAAGUUUUGUAUCCUAAAAAUAGCUUCAACUAGUCACGCUAUAUACCCAAGCAAAAAUCUAUAGUCAAUAAACCUUACCUAUUAAACUAUUUUCCAAACACAAAACCUUGUGACAAAUAAACAAAUUUUGUUCACAAAACCAAGAUUCCUUGAACCUGUACAAAAACACGGGUCAACGCAAACAUUUGUUUUGUUCUACACCCAUAACAUCCCUGUCAUAAACAAACAAGCAAUUAUGUAUAUGUUUCCAAACAUAUUAUAAUAAAUCAAACAACAAGCCAAAAUCCCAAGUUU